rnacentral:rRNA from 1 species
UACGUAGGGUGCAAGCGUUAAUCGGAAUUACUGGGCGUAAAGCGUGCGCAGGCGGUUAUGCAAGACAGAUGUGAAAUCCCCGGGCUUAACCUGGGAACUGCGCUUGUUACUGGCAGGCUUGAGUGUGGCAGAGGGGGGUGGAAUUCCACGUGUAGCAGUGAAAUGCGUAGAGAUGUGGAGGAACACCGAUGGCGAAGGCAGCCCCCUGGGCUAACACUGACGCUCAUGCACGAAAGCGUGGGGAGCAAACAGG